AUUGAACGCUGGCGGCAUGCCUAACACAUGCAAGUCGAACGAGGUUGGCUUCGGCCAGCCUAGUGGCAGACGGGUGAGUAAUGCGUGGGAAUCUGCCUCGUAGUGGGGGAUAACGUAGGGAAACUUACGCUAAUACCGCAUACGCUCUACGGAGGAAAGGGGGGGAUCUUUGGACCUCUCGCUAUGAGAUGACCCCACGUCUGAUUAGCUAGUUGGUGGGGUAAAGGCCUACCAAGGCGACGAUCAGUAGCCGGCCUGAGAGGGUGUACGGCCACACUGGGACUGAGACACGGCCCACACUCCUACGGGAGGCAGCAGUGGGGAAUAUUGGACAAUGGGCGAAAGCCUGAUCCAGCAAUGCCGCGUGUGUGAAGAAGGCCUGCGGGUUGUAAAGCACUUUAAGUGGGGAAGAAUGGGAUUGCGCUAAUACCGUGAUCCUUUGACGUUACCCACAGAAUAAGCACCGGCUAACUCCGUGCCAGCAGCCGCGGUAAUACGGAGGGUGCGAGCGUUAAUCGGAAUUACUGGGCGUAAAGCGCAUGUAGGCGGUUUGAUAAGUCGGAUGUGAAAUCCCUGGGCUUAACCUAGGAAUG
rnacentral:rRNA from 1 species